CGGGGUUGCGGACAGUGUCUGGUGGGUAGUUUGACUGGGGCGGUCUCCUCCCAAAGAGUAACGGAGGAGCACGAAGGUUAGCUAAUCCUGGUCGGACAUCAGGAGGUUAGUGCAAUGGCAUAAGCUAGCUUGACUGCGAGCGUGACGGCGCGAGCAGGUGCGAAAGCAGGUCAUAGUGAUCCGGUGGUUCUGAAUGGAAGGGCCAUCGCUCAACGGAUAAAAGGUACUCCGGGGAUAACAGGCUGAUACCGCCCAAGAGUUCAUAUCGACGGCGGUGUUUGGCACCUCGAUGUCGGCUCAUCACAUCCUGGGGCUGAAGUAGGUCCCAAGGGUAUGGCUGUUCGCCAUUUAAAGUGGUACGCGAGCUGGGUUUAGAACGUCGUGAGACAGUUCGGUCCCUAUCUGCCGUGGGCGCUGGAGAAUUGAGGGGGGCUGCUCCUAGUACGAGAGGACCGGAGUGGACGCAUCACUGGUGUUCGGGUUGUCAUGCCAAUGGCACUGCCCGGUAGCUAAAUGCGGAAGAGAUAAGUGCUGAAAGCAUCUAAGCACGAAACUUGCCCCGAGAUGAGUUCUCCCUGAGACUAUAAGUCUCCUGAAGGAACGUUGAAGACGACGACGUUGAUAGGCCGGGUGUGUAAGCGCAGCGAUGCGUUGAGCUAACCGGUACUAAUGAACCGUGAGGCUUAACCUUACAACGCCGAAGCUGUU
rnacentral:rRNA from 1 species